UCACUCAUGUUUCUCUUCAAAUCGUAUAAAUCUUUCGCCUUUUACUAAAGAUUUCCGUGGAGAGAAGCAAUAAGAUUGUAUCUCAAAUUUUUGAUACCCCGCCGUGUGGUAGGGUG
rnacentral:snRNA from 1 species